rnacentral:rRNA from 1 species
GACGAACGCUGGCGGCGUGCCUAAUACAUGCAAGUAGAACGCUGAAGGAGGAGCUUGCUUCUCCGGAUGAGUUGCGAACGGGUGAGUAACGCGUAGGUAACCUGCCCGGUAGCGGGGGAUAACUAUUGGAAACGAUAGCUAAUACCGCAUAACAGUAGAUGUUGCAUGACAUUUGCUGAAAAGUUGCAAUUGCAUCACUUCCAGAUGGACCUGCGUUGUAUUAGCUAGGUGGUGUGGUAACGGCUCACCAAGGCGACGAUACAUAGCCGACCUGAGAGGGGGGUCGGCCACACUGGGACUGAGACCCGGCCCAUACUCCUUCGGGAGGCAGCCGUAGGGAAUCUUCGGCCAUGGACAGAAGUCUUACCGAGCAACGCCGCGUGAGUGAAGAAGGUUUUCGGAUCGUAAAGCUCGGUUGUAGGAGAAGAACGAGCGUGAGAGUGGAAAGUUCACACUGUGACGGUAUCUUACCAGAAAGCGACGGCUAACUACGUG